GCUCUGAUAGAGUAGUGGUAAACACGUGCCCCCGAAAAGGGUGAGAUGCGCGUUCGAUUCUCGCCUGAGGUU